rnacentral:rRNA from 1 species
AAAUUGAAGAGUUUGAUCAUGGCUCAGAUUGAACGCUGGCGGCAGGCUUAACACAUGCAAGUCGAACGGUAGCAGGAAGGAAGCUUGCUUUCUUUGCUGACGAGUGGCGGACGGGUGAGUAAUGCUUGGGAAUCUGGCUUAUGGAGGGGGAUAACGACGGGAAACUGUCGCUAAUACCGCGUAAUGUCUAAGGACUAGAGGGUGGGACUUUCGGGCCACCUGCCAUAAGAUGAGCCCAAGUGGGAUUAGGUAGUUGGUGGGGUAAAGGCCUACCAAGCCGACGAU